GAACGCUGGCGGCGGCCUAAACAUGCAAGUCGAGCGGAAACGAAGAGGUGCUUGCACCUCUGGCGUCGAGCGGCGGACGGGUGAGUAAUGCUUGGGAAUAUGCCUUAUGGUGGGGGACAACAGUUGGAAACGACUGCUAAUACCGCAUGAUGUCUACGGACCAAAGUGGGGGACCUUCGGGCCUCACGCCAUAAGAUUAGCCCAAGUGGGAUUAGCUAGUUGGUGAGGUAAUGGCUCACCAAGGCGACGAUCCCUAGCUGGUUUGAGAGGAUGAUCAGCCACACUGGGACUGAGACACGGCCCAGACUCCUACGGGAGGCAGCAGUGGGGAAUAUUGCACAAUGGGCGCAAGCCUGAUGCAGCCAUGCCGCGUGUGUGAAGAAGGCCUUCGGGUUGUAAAGCACUUUCAGUAAGGAGGAAAGGUUAAGUGUUAAUAGCACUUAGCUGUGACGUUACUUACAGAAGAAGCACCGGCUAACUCCGUGCCAGCAGCCGCGGUAAUACGGAGGGUGCGAGCGUUAAUCGGAAUUACUGGGCGUAAAGCGUACGCAGGCGGUUUGUUAAGCGAGAUGUGAAAGCCCCGGGCU
rnacentral:rRNA from 1 species